CAGUAGCCGCGGUAAUACGAAGGGUGCAAGCGUUGUCCGGAAUUAUUGGGCGUAAAGAGCUUGUAGGUGGUUUGUCGCGUCUGCUGUGAAAAUCCGAGGCUCAACCUCGGACUUGCAGUGGGUACGGGCAGACUAGAGUGUGGUAGGGGAGACUGGAAUUCCUGGUGUAGCGGUGGAAUGCGCAGAUAUCAGGAGGAACACCGAUGGCGAAGGCAGGUCUCUGGGCCAUUACUGACACUGAGAAGCGAAAGCAUGGGGAGCGAACAGGAUUAGAUACCCCAGUAGUCCCUGUCUCUUAUAA
rnacentral:rRNA from 1 species